UGGGGAAUUUUGGACAAUGGGCGAAAGCCCGAUCCAGCAAUGCCGCGUGUGUGAAGAAGGCCUUCGGGUUGUAAAGCACUUUUGUCCGGAAAGAAAUCCUUGGCUCUAAUACAGUCGGGGGAUGACGGUACCGGAAGAAUAAGCACCGGCUAACUACGUGCCAGCAGCCGCGGUAAUACGUAGGGUGCAAGCGUUAAUCGGAAUUACUGGGCGUAAAGCGUGCGCAGGCGGUUUGCUAAGACCGAUGUGAAACCCCCGGGCUCAACCUGGGAACUGCAUUGGUGACUGGCAGGCUAGAGUAUGGCAGAGGGGGGUAGAAUUCCACGUGUAGCAGUGAAAUGCGUAGAGAUGUGGAGGAAUACCGAUGGCGAAGGCACGCCCCUGGGCCAAUACUGACGCUCAUGCACGAAAGCGUGGGGAGCAAACAGGAUUAGAUACCCUGGUAGUCCACGCCCUAAACGAUGUCAACUAGUUGUUGGGGAUUCAUUUCCUUAGUAACGUAGCUAACGCGUGAAGUUGACCGCCUGGGGAGUACGGUCGCAAGAUUAAAACUUAAAGGAAUUG
rnacentral:rRNA from 1 species